AUAAACUGAAAGGGAGCACUUGAAAAAUGACAUCCUGGGCUGGGCACGAUGUCUGACGCUUGUAAUCCCAGCGCUUUCGGAGGCCAAGCUAGAAUGCAAACCACAUGAAGUUUGGGACCUUAUCUGUUUUGUUUACCACUGAAAUUGAGAGCAUUAAGAAAAGUACCUGGCACAAUUAAUAUUUGUUGAAUAAAUGAAUGAAUAAAUUUUC